GACGAACGCUGGCGGCGUGCUUAACACAUGCAAGUCGAGCGGUAAGGCCCUUUCGGGGGUACACGAGCGGCGAACGGGUGAGUAACACGUGGGCGACCUACCUUCAGCUCUGGGAUAAGCCUGGGAAACUGGGUCUAAUACCGGAUAGGACCGCAUGUCGCAUGGUGUGUGGUGGAAAGUUUGUUCUUAAUUGGACACUUCGGCUGGGGAUGGGCCCGCGGCCUAUCAGCUUGUCGGUGGGGUGAUGGCCUACCAAGGCGACGACGGGUAGCCGGCCUGAGAGGGCGACCGGCCACACUGGGACUGAGAUACGGCCCAGACUCCUACGGGAGGCAGCAGUGGGGAAUAUUGCGCAAUGGGCGGAAGCCUGACGCAGCGACGCCGCGUGGGGA
rnacentral:rRNA from 1 species